UACGUAGGCAGCAAGCGUUGUUCGGAAUUACUGGGCGUAAAGAGCGUGUAGGCGGUCAGGUAGGUCCGUUGUGAAAACUCGAGGCUCAACCUCAAGACGCCGAUGGAAACCAUCUGACUAGAGUCCGGAAGAGGAGAGUGGAAUUCCUGGUGUAGCGGUGAAAUGCGCAGAUAUCAGGAAGAACACCCGUGGCUAAGGCGGCUCUCUAGUACGGUACUGACGCUGAGACGCGAAAGCGUGGGGAGCGAACAGG
rnacentral:rRNA from 1 species